rnacentral:rRNA from 1 species
AGAGUUUGAUCCUGGCUCAGGACGAACGCUGGCGGCGUGCCUAAGACAUGCAAGUCGAGCGGUCCCUUUCGGGGGACAGCGGCGGACGGGUGAGUAACACGUGGAUAACCUGCCCCUGCCACCGGGAUAACAAGCCGAAAGGUUUGCUAAUACGGGAUAAGCUCACGCCCUCGCAUGGGGGUGAGAGAAAAGGCGCUGCA